UAGGAAAAGAAAUCAACCGAGAUUGCCUUAGUAGCGGCGAGCGAACGGGCAACAGCCGAUAUUUAUUGUAGUAGUGGAAUAUUCUGGAAAGUUUAGCGAUACAGAGUGAUAGCCUCGUACACGAAGCUGCAAUAGAUACAUAUUAAGUAGGUCGGGACACGUGUUAUCUUGACUGAAGAUGGGGGGACCAUCCUCCAAGGCUAAAUACUCCUAACUGACCGAUAGUGAAGUAGUACCGUGAGGGAAAGGCGAAAAGAACCCCUGUGAGGGGAGUGAAAUAGAACCUGAAACCGUAUACGUACAAGCAGUGGGAGCAGACUUGUUCUGUGACUGCGUACCUUUUGUAUAAUGGGUCAGCGACUUAAUUUUGGUAGCGAGGUUAACCGUUUAGGGGAGCCGUAGCGAAAGCGAGUGUUAACUGCGCGUCUAGUUGCCAGGAUUAGACCCGAAACCCGGUGAUCUAGCCAUGGGCAGGUUGAAGGUUGAGUAACAUCAACUGGAGGACCGAACCCACUGACGUUGAAAAGUCAGGGGAUGACCUGUGGCUGGGGGUGAAAGGCCAAUCAAACCGGGAGAUAGCUGGUUCUCCCCGAAAUCUAUUUAGGUAGAGCCUCGGACGAAUUCCAUUGGGGGUAGAGCACUGUUAAGGCUAGGGGGUCAUCCCGACUUACCAACCCUUUGCAAACUCCGAAUACCGAUGAGAACUAUCCGGGAGACACACGGCGGGUGCUAACGUCCGUCGUGGAGAGGGAAACAACCCAGACCGCCAGCUAAGGUCCCAAAAUAUUGCUAAGUGGGAAACGAUGUGGGAAGGCUAAGACAGCUAGGAGGUUGGCUUAGAAGCAGCCAUCCUUUAAAGAAAGCGUAAUAGCUCACUAGUCGAGUCGGCCUGCGCGGAAGAUGUAACGGGGCUAAGCAAUAUACCGAAGCUGCGGCAGCAUACUAGUAUGCUGGGUAGGGGAGCGUUGUGUAAGCUGUUGAAGGUGUGUUGAGAAGCAUGCUGGAGGUAUCACAAGUGCGAAUGCUGACAUGAGUAACGAUAAUGGGGGUGAAAAACCCCCACGCCGGAAGACCAAGGUUUCCUGUCCCAUGCUAAUCAGGGCAGGGUAAGUCGGCCCCUAAGGCGAGGCAGAAAUGCGUAGUCGAUGGGAAACGGGUUAAUAUUCCCGUACUUGUAUAAUCAGUGAUGGAGGGACGGAGAAGGCUAGGCUAUCGUGGCGUUGGUUGUCCACGUGAAAGUGUGUAGGCUGAGUGCUUAGGUAAAUCCGGGCGCUUAAGGCCGAGACACGAGACGAGGCUCUACGGAGCUGAAGUAGUUGAUGCCCUGCUUCCAGGAAAAGCUUCUAAACUUAUGAUUAUAUGAACCGUACCCCAAACCGACACAGGUGGUCAGGUAGAGAAUACUAAGGCGCUUGAGAGAACUCGGGUGAAGGAACUCGGCAAAAUAGUACCGUAACUUCGGGAGAAGGUACGCCCCUGUUUGUGAAGGACUUGCUCCGUAAGCAGAUGGGGGUCGCAGUGACCAGGUGGCUGGGACUGUUUAUUAAAAACACAGCACUCUGCAAAAUCGAAAGAUGACGUAUAGGGUGUGACACCUGCCCGGUGCCGGAAGGUUAAUUGAUGGGGUUAGCGUAAGCGAAGCUCUUGAUCGAAGCCCCGGUAAACGGCGGCCGUAACUAUAACGGUCCUAAGGUAGCGAAAUUCCUUGUCGGGUAAGUUCCGACCUGCACGAAUGGUGUAACCAUGGCCACGCUGUCUCCACCCGAGACUCAGUGAAAUUGAACUUGCUGUGAAGAUGCAGUGUACCCGCACCUAGACGGAAAGACCCCGUGAACCUUUACUACAGCUUGGCACUGAACAUUGACCCUACAUGUGUAGGAUAGGUGGGAGGCUUUGAAGUGUGUACGCCAGUAUGCAUGGAGCCGCCGUUGAAAUACCACCCUUGUAUGUUUGAUGUUCUAACGUUGUCCCCU
rnacentral:rRNA from 1 species